GCUUGUAAGAUCCUUUCCCCGUUAUCUCUAUGUUUGGAACGAUCAUUCCUAGUUGGGUCCAAGCUUUCCUACGUUUGGUUCCUGUGUUGUCGAGAAUACACUUUGGAGUACGUAGUCCCCGAUCUGGAAGUGUUGGAGGUUGGUUUCUUUAUUGUAAUAUUUCUCAAUCUUCUACUUCUAGGUGGCCAUUCGGAUUAGGGCCAACUCUCAGCGUCCCUCAAGUAAAUCCAAUUGUGCAAUCAGUGUUUCGUUAUUGCCUUCUUCCGUAGCGUGAGCAAGCCUUAGGCUAGGUUCCUCUAUUUCUGCCGAAAUGAGUGCUUUGACACCAUAUACCAAGGAAAAGAGGGGGUUUUCCGUGCUGGACUUCGUUGUUAUUCUGUAGGCCAAAGUACUACAGCCAACUCAUCUAUCUAGUUGCCCCUAGCUACUUUCAAUCUUUUAUUUAACGAAUUUAGCAAGGCCCUAUUCAAUAAUUUCGCAUGUUUGUUUGCUCCGGGAUGGUACGAUUUGGAGGUAACUCUCUUCAUCCUCCAAUCCUGGAAGAAUUCUACUAUUUUGCCUCCGCUAAACUGAGGUCCAUUAGCAGAGGUUAUUUCCUUUGGAAGUCUAAAUCUGUAAAUAAUGUUCCUUCAUAUGAAGCCUAUGACUUCCUUUUCUCUGAUCUGGCCGAAUGUGCCAGCUUCUAUACAUAUGGAGAAAUAGUCUAUAGUCUAUGAGUACUAGGAGAAAUAUUACUUUUCCCGGGGCUUGUGGUAAUGGUCUCACAAUAUCCAUCCCUCAUUUCAUGAAGGACCAUGGAUCUAGAAUUGAGUUAAAAAGCUCCACAGUUGGUGUAAUCGUCGAGCGAACCACUGUAUUUCCCACAUUCUUUUAUGAAAUCUGCAACAUAUCGUUUCAUCUAGGGUCAAAGGUAACCGGCCCUAUAGCUUUUGACAUCCCACAAAUGGUUUAUUUAGUUUUCUUUGUGAACUUCUUGUAUCACAUAAUCAACAUAUCUGGGCCCAAAUACUUGGCCAGUGGGCCGAUGUAGGUUUUUCGGUACAAAUUGUCUGAUACAAGGCAAUAUUUGGAUGUUUUGUUUUCGAGCUUCAGAAAUCUUUGAUUAUCUUUCGGCAAUGCUUCAUUCUCAAAAUAGUCGAUGAUUGCACCAUGCUAAUCCUGAACCAGGUGAACUAUAUUCACCUCAUCUUGUUGUUGAUUUAUGUUUGAGUAGAAUAGAUGAACCACCGAAUUUUCUCUUGAUCAAUGAUGCUUAAAGUUUCCCCUAGCGUGUCUAGGGCAUCAACUUUGACUUGUUCUUCCCAAGGUAUUUGAGUGGCCUUACAUUCACGAAAUUGACCAAAGAGGGAAAUGACUCUGUUCAAGAACUGCAUUAUUCGCAAGUCUCAUGCCUUUGGUCGGGGUAAUAACUACAUUUCCUAACCCGGAUCCUUUGGUACUCAAGGGUCGUCAUUGUAUAAGGUACAGAGCCUUGGCUUUGUUCUGAAAGUUAUCACUUCCUUCUCGGCCUCUGGGAGUAUGAUCGCACUAAAGUCAGCAACAAAGUUAAUUAGGACUUGUGACUUGAUGGCGGUGCGAGGUUGAUAUGUUAUAUCAAAUGCAAUUAAUUUGAUUGCCCAUUUGGCAAGCCUCUCGAAAAGAUCCAGCUUAUGAAGAAUAUUUUGUGGUGGAAAGGUGGUCACCAUGAAGACAGGGUAACAUUAGAAGUAAGGCCUUAGUUUCAGGGAGGCCAUUACAAGUGCUAAGACUAGUUUCUCUAGGAGAGGAUGCCUAGUUUCAGAAUCUUUACGUGCCUUAUUAACAUAGUAGAUAGAGGAUUGCAUACCUUUUUCUUCUCAUACCAACACGACACUUACAACAGUUUUAGACAUGACUGGAUACACCAAAAAUUGCUCUACUGGUUGUGGCUUGGAUAGGAACGAUGGAUUCGACAGGUACCUUUUUAGAUCCCGGGGUGCUUGUUGACAUUUGGGAGUGCGCUCAAAGUCUUUAUUCUUCUUUUAAUGAUGUGAAGAUUGUUAUAUCUUUGUGAGUAACAGGAUAUGAAUUGGCUAAGGGAUGUUAUCUAUCCGGUCAGCCUCAUCACCUCUUUCUAGUUUUUCAAUAUUAUUGAGAUCUUGUAAUGGGUUUUAUCUACAUGGGGUUAUCUUGUAUUCCUCUAUUUGAGACUAAGAAUCUUAUUUGAGACUACUCUGAAGGCGCAUUUCUCCGGGUUCAACUU